rnacentral:misc_RNA from 1 species
CAACCCUCGGUUCCAACCGGUUUUGAGCGAGCUCGGGUCCCCGACCCGGCUGGCUUUAAAGUUGUAAGCUCUGCUGCCCGCCCGGCCCUGCCAGAACAUAGUAAAAACUACUUGCUCCCGGUCAGGAUCGAAGCGGUGCGGCCUGAAAAACACCUACCAAACUCUUAG